GGUAGGAUACCCAAGCGGUCAACGGGGGCAGACUGUAAAUCUGCUGGCUGCGGCCUUCGAAGGUUCGAAUCCUUCUCCUACCACCA
rnacentral:tRNA from 1 species